rnacentral:rRNA from 1 species
AAGCAUAUCAAUAAGCGGAGGAAAAGAAACCAACAGGGAUUGCCCUAGUAACGGCGAGUGAAGCGGCAACAGCUCAAAUUUGAAAUCUGGCGUCUUCGGCGUCCGAGUUGUAAUUUGCAGAGGGCGCUUUGGCAUUGGCAGCGGUCCAAGUUCCUUGGAACAGGACGUCACAGAGGGUGAGAAUCCCGUACGUGGUCGCUAGCCUUUACCGUGUAAAGCCCCUUCGACGAGUCGAGUUGUUUGGGAAUGCAGCUCUAAAUGGGAGGUAAAUUUCUUCUAAAGCUAAAUACUGGCCAGAGACCGAUAGCGCACAAGUAGAGUGAUCGAAAGAUGAAAAGCACUUUGGAAAGAGAGUUAAAAAGCACGUGAAAUUGUUGAAAGGGAAGCGCUUGCAGCCAGACUUGCCUGUAGUUGCUCAUCCGGGUUUUUACCCGGUGCACUCUUCUAUAGGCAGGCCAGCAUCAGUUUGGGCGGUUGGAUAAAGGUCUCUGUCAUGUACCUCUCUUCGGGGAGAACUUAUAGGGGAGACGACAUGCAACCAGCCUGGACUGAGGUCCGCGCAUCUGCUAGGAUGCUGGCGUAAUGGCUGUAAGCGGCCCGUCUUGAAACACGGACCAAGGAGUCUAACAUCUAUGCGAGUGUUUGGGUGUCAAGCCCGAGCGCGUAAUGAAAGUGAACGGAGGUGGGAACCUUUCGGGGUGCACCAUCGACCGAUCCUGAUGUCUUCGGAUGGAUUUGAGUAAGAGCAUAGCUGUUGGGACCCGAAAGAUGGUGAACUAUGCUUGAAUAGGGUGAAGCCAGAGGAAACUCUGGUGGAGGCUCGCAGCGGUUCUGACGUGCAAAUCGAUCGUCAAAUUUGGGCAUAGGGGCGAAAGACUAAUCGAACUAUCUAGUAGCUGGUUCCUGCUGA